GUUGAUCUGCUCUUCAUAUAUUUCAGACAGCCAUGGCGAUAUUAUACAGGAGGAGUACUAUGGGUGUGUGUGUGUGGGUUGGAGAAGAGCAAGGGGAUCGAUUCCACAUCGAUCUAUGGAUGUAUGGCUAUACAGACUGGAGUAUAUCAAGAAGACCGGGAGACAUAAUAAUUAAAGACAAGCUCACCUAAUUAAACAUAGGAGAUGCAACGUGAGAGGUGGGGAUCGAACAUGUACAAGAAACUAAAAGAAUCAGCUGCUAGCUUAGCAGCCAGAUCGAUCUGUCUAUCUACCUAACUAUCUCCCUCUUGCAGCCGGAGCCAGAGAAGAAGAAGGGCUAAUUAAGGAUGGAAGGGAGGGGGGGCAAAUUCUCAACAUACAUAUGUAGAGUGUUGGAUCGAGCAGCUAGAUCAAGGAGGGGAGAGGAAGGCAGCUAAAUUUCUAGGUAGGUUAAGACCAUUGGUUGGCAUGGACAUACACCUCAACAAAAGCAAAGGGAGCGUGCUACUCUAGCUAGCUAUAUAUAUAACAGCAAGGGGCGCGGCCGGGCGCCCUAAGAACAAGAGAGGAGGGGGGAAGCAACACCCAAGAAACCCUAGAUAGAUAGGUAGCUGGAGAGGAAAGGCUGAACAGUAGUAUUGCUAGCUGGCCGGCUGGAUCUUGCAGAGGAGUGAGCAUAGGUAGAGAUCGAUCGAUGGAGAGAACGAGCAGCAGAGAGUUAAUUAAAAGCUUAUGACAGCCUGCUUGUAUAGUAGAUCGAGCUAGGUAGCUGUGUACUAGGUAGAGAGCUAGAGCUUCUGUCAAGCUCUCCCAUGGCCGGAGAAUGUGAAAGCCUGGCUUAUGGAGAAGAAGAGAGAAGGGGGUGGGGGAGCAGUUGGAUUGCUGGUUCAGACGAGACCAACGGGGUGCGCGUUAAUUGGAUUGGUCCGUUAGCUCUAAUAUACAGUCGUUUUCACAGGGGCACAUAUGACAGCGCCACCCACAACCACACACACACACACUCUGUCUCUUUCUUCGCUUCUUCUUCCUUAAUUAGUCAUAGUAUAAUGGUAAUCAUAAUGACUUCAUAGAAUAUACACCGGAAUCUUUACUUUCAAGUCUGCUAGCGAGAGGCAUUCACGCAUUAAUGCGAUAUCUUUACUCCAUUAAAAUUAGACUCAGUUGGUGGCGGCGGUCCGUCGCUCCUUGAGACUGCGUGCUUCACUUGUUGGCUUGACUCGAACCAAUGAGACAAGAACAAAUAUGAAUUAUAUGACCUAAGAUAGUAGAAAUCGGAGAUGACGAGACCUUUCUUUUUCAAAAAAACAAAACAAAACAAAAAAGCGACCUGAGAUAAUAGAUGAUAUUACAACAUUCUUUAUGAUUAUGCGGUGUGUUUUUUGGUCCGUAGCAAUGCAUGGGCAUUAUGAUGGUAUAUACAC
rnacentral:lncRNA from 1 species